rnacentral:rRNA from 1 species
GUAGGGCGGGACACGUGGUAUCCUGUCUGAAUAUGGGGGGACCAUCCUCCAAGGCUAAAUACUCCUGACUGACCGAUAGUGAACCAGUACCGUGAGGGAAAGGCGAAAAGAACCCCGGCGAGGGGAGUGAAAAAGAACCUGAAACCGUGUACGUACAAGCAGUGGGAGCCUCUUUAUGGGGUGACUGCGUACCUUUUGUAUAAUGGGUCAGCGACUUAUAUUCUGUAGCAAGGUUAACCGAAUAGGGGAGCCGAAGGGAAACCGAGUCUUAACUGGGCGUUAAGUUGCAGGGUAUAGACCCGAAACCCGGUGAUCUAGCCAUGGGCAGGUUGAAGGUUGGGUAACACUAACUGGAGGACCGAACCGACUAAUGUUGAAAAAUUAGCGGAUGACUUGUGGCUGGGGGUGAAAGGCCAAUCAAACCGGGAGAUAGCUGGUUCUCCCCGAAAGCUAUUUAGGUAGCGCCUCGUGAAUUCAUCUCCGGGGGUAGAGCACUGUUUCGGCAAGGGGGUCAUCCCGACUUACCAACCCGAUGCAAACUGCGAAUACCGGAGAAUGUUAUCACGGGAGACACACGGCGGGUGCUAACGUCCGUCGUGAAGAGGGAAACAACCCAGACCGCCAGCUAAGGUCCCAAAGUCAUGGUUAAGUGGGAAACGAUGUGGGAAGGCCCAGACAGCCAGGAUGUUGGCUUAGAAGCAGCCAUCAUUUAAAGAAAGCGUAAUAGCUCACUGGUCGAGUCGGCCUGCGCGGAAGAUGUAACGGGGCUAAACCAUGCACCGAAGCUGCGGCAGCGACACUAUGUGUUGUUGGGUAGGGGAGCGUUCUGUAAGCCUGUGAAGGUGGCCUGUGAGGGUUGCUGGAGGUAUCAGAAGUGCGAAUGCUGACAUAAGUAACGAUAAAGCGGGUGAAAAGCCCGCUCGCCGGAAGACCAAGGGUUCCUGUCCAACGUUAAUCGGGGCAGGGUGAGUCGACCCCUAAGGCGAGGCCGAAAGGCGUAGUCGAUGGGAAACAGGUUAAUAUUCCUGUACUUGGUGUUACUGCGAAGGGGGGACGGAGAAGGCUAUGUUGGCCGGGCGACGGUUGUCCCGGUUUAAGCGUGUAGGCUGGUUUUCCAGGCAAAUCCGGAAAACCAAGGCUGAGGCGUGAUGACGAGGCACUACGGUGCUGAAGCGACAAAUGCCCUGCUUCCAGGAAAAGCCUCUAAGCAUCAGGUAACAUCAAAUCGUACCCCAAACCGACACAGGUGGUCAGGUAGAGAAUACCAAGGCGCUUGAGAGAACUCGGGUGAAGGAACUAGGCAAAAUGGUGCCGUAACUUCGGGAGAAGGCACGCUGAUAUGUAGGUGAAGCGACUUGCUCGUGGAGCUGAAAUCAGUCGAAGAUACCAGCUGGCUGCAACUGUUUAUUAAAAACACAGCACUGUGCAAACACGAAAGUGGACGUAUACGGUGUGACGCCUGCCCGGUGCCGGAAGGUUAAUUGAUGGGGUUAGCGGUAACGCGAAGCUCUUGAUCGAAGCCCCGGUAAACGGCGGCCGUAACUAUAACGGUCCUAAGGUAGCGAAAUUCCUUGUCGGGUAAGUUCCGACCUGCACGAAUGGCGUAAUGAUGGCCAGGCUGUCUCCACCCGAGACUCAGUGAAAUUGAACUCGCUGUGAAGAUGCAGUGUACCCGCGGCAAGACGGAAAGACCCCGUGAACCUUUACUAUAGCUUGACACUGAACAUUGAGCCUUGAUGUGUAGGAUAGGUGGGAGGCUUUGAAGUGUGGACGCCAGUCUGCAUGGAGCCGACCUUGAAAUACCACCCUUUAAUGUUUGAUGUUCUAACGUUGGCCCGUAAUCCGGGUUGCGGACAGUGUCUGGUGGGUAGUUUGACUGGGGCGGUCUCCUCCUAAAGAGUAACGGAGGAGCACGAAGGUUGGCUAAUCCUGGUCGGACAUCAGGAGGUUAGUGCAAUGGCAUAAGCCAGCUUGACUGCGAGCGUGACGGCGCGAGCAGGUGCGAAAGCAGGUCAUAGUGAUCCGGUGGUUCUGAAUGGAAGGGCCAUCGCUCAACGGAUAAAAGGUACUCCGGGGAUAACAGGCUGAUACCGCCCAAGAGUUCAUAUCGACGGCGGUGUUUGGCACCUCGAUGUCGGCUCAUCACAUCCUGGGGCUGAAGUAGGUCCCAAGGGUAUGGCUGUUCGCCAUUUAAAGUGGUACGCGAGCUGGGUUUAGAACGUCGUGAGACAGUUCGGUCCCUAUCUGCCGUGGGCGCUGGAGAACUGAGGGGGGCUGCUCCUAGUACGAGAGGACCGGAGUGGACGCAUCACUGGUGUUCGGGUUGUCAUGCCAAUGGCACUGCCCGGUAGCUAAAUGCGGAAGAGAUAAGUGCUGAAAGCAUCUAAGCACGAAACUUGCCCCGAGAUGAGUUCUCCCUGACUCCUUGAGAGUCCUGAAGGAACGUUGAAGACGACGACGUUGAUAGGCCGGGUGUGUAAGCGCAGCGAUGCGUUGAGCUAACCGGUACUAAUGAACCGUGAGGCUUAACCUU